AGAGUGAUGACUUGUGGAAACAU
rnacentral:snRNA from 1 species